rnacentral:rRNA from 1 species
UACGUAGGGUCCGAGCGUUGUCCGGAAUUAUUGGGCGUAAAGAGCUCGUAGGCGGUUUGUCGCGUCUGCUGUGAAAUCCCGAGGCUCAACCUCGGGCCUGCAGUGGGUACGGGCAGACUGGAGUGCGGUAGGGGAGAAUGGAAUUCCUGGUGUAGCGGUGAAAUGCGCAGAUAUCAGGAGGAACACCGGUGGCGAAGGCGGGUCUCUGGGCCGAUAUUGACGCUGAGGAGCGAAAGCGUGGGGAGCGAACAGG